rnacentral:rRNA from 1 species
UGGCGAACGGGUGAGUAACACGUGGGCAACCUGCCCAAAAGAGGGGGAUAACACUUGGAAACAGGUGCUAAUACCGCAUAACCAUAGUUACCGCAUGGUAACUAUGUAAAAGGUGGCUAUGCUACCGCUUUUGGAUGGGCCCGCGACGCAUUAGCUAGUUGGUGGGGUAAAGGCUUACCAAGGCAAUGAUGCGUAGCCGAACUGAGAGGUUGAUCGGCCACAUUGGGACUGAGACACGGCCCAAACUCCUACGGGAGGCAGCAGUAGGGAAUCUUCCACAAUGGGCGAAAGCCUGAUGGAGCAACGCCGCGUGGGUGAAGAAGGUCUUCGGAUCGUAAAACCCUGUUGUUAGAGAAGAAAGUGCGUGAGAGUAACUGUUCACGUUUCGACGGUAUCUAACCAGAAAGCCACGGCUAACUACGUGCCAGCAGCCGCGGUAAUACGUAGGUGGCAAGCGUUAUCCGGAUUUAUUGGGCGUAAAGAGAACGCAGGCGGUCUUUUAAGUCUGAUGUGAAAGCCUUCGGCUUAACCGGAGUAGUGCAUUGGAAACUGGGAGACUUGAGUGCAGAAGAGGAGAGUGGAACUCCAUGUGUAGCGGUGAAAUGCGUAGAUAUAUGGAAGAACACCAGUGGCGAAAGCGGCUCUCUGGUCUGUAACUGACGCUGAGGUUCGAAAGCGUGGGUAGCAAACAGGAUUAGAUACCCUGGUAGUCCACGCCGUAAA